GGAAUGUCCACAAAGGGGCUCAGGCUGGGAAAAUCCACAAAGGGACUCAGCUGAGGAAGAAACAAAUGAGGUAUUACCGGUUACUAGGUAAUAAGCUCAAAGAGACAUGUGAUCAAGACACCGGUAUGAGGGUGAGAGAACGACACGCUCGGGGAGAAUGAAUAUCUAAGACCGGUAUAAGGGCGAGAGAUAUCAAUCAUCCAAAAAUCUGAGGAAGACCUAAAACAGG
rnacentral:lncRNA from 1 species